UUUCUCUCUCUCAACUGUGCACAUGUUCUUCAACUUUCUCCUCAUUCUUCUUCAUGUACCUCAACAUUCUCCAUCUUCUUCUUCUGCUAUCGUCGAAUCUCUCUCUUUUCUCUGUCACGCGAAUCUCUUUCUUCCUCUUCUUCUUUUUUUCCAUGACAAAGAUGUGAUUUUUACUGGUUUUUGUAGUUAUCGUGUUUACGGAUUAGUGAAUGUUUCGAUCUAUAUGUGAAAAAGAUCGGUGAUGUUUUUCAGAUCUGUGAUAUUAAAGAAGAUCCAUUGAUUUUUAACUUCACUCUUUUUUGUUUUCCAGGUUCUUUAGGUUUUAUCUAUGGGUUUCUAACUUCCUUCCUCUUCAACGACAACAAAGGUACAAAGGAGGUUUCAUAUCCCACGACGGUUGCAACCGACCUCGCUGAAAUUUCGUGUACAAAGCAACGCAAAAUCAUUUUUCUUACACAUCUCAUGUACAAAGAAACUCAGUGAAGGUAGAGAUUACUCAGAGUAUUUUUGUUGAUGUAGAGAUGAAUCGGGUGUGUUCUAUGCCACAGAACCCCAAUCGUUUGUUACCGCAAAAACUUUUAUUCUUCGUAAAUCAUGAAAUGUAGUAGAAUGACAUGUUUCCUAUCAAAUAUAAUUUCUAUAUUUAUGAGGAGAGAUUUUUAUUCUUACCACAUGAGAUGAGUCUAACUUUUAAUAUUUUAUUUUGUUUGUUCCAUUUUAAUUGGUGAGUGGAUCACUUUAAUUGAAUGGCCACUUUAAUUGGUGAGUCUAAUUUUUGUCUCUUCAACCUUCAAUUGU